rnacentral:rRNA from 1 species
UAACACAUGCAAGUCAACUUGACUGAAGGAGCAAUCUGACAGUAGAGUGGCGCAAGGGUGCGUAACGCGUAAGUAACUUGCCCCAAGGUAAGGAAUAACGUCGAGAAAUCGGCGCUAAUACCUCAUAAUGCAGCGGAUCCGCAUGGAUAUGUUGUUAAAGGUUUACCGCCUUGGGAUAGGCUUGCGUCUGAUUAGCUAGUUGGUGUGGUAACGGCACACCAAGGCUACGAUCAGUAACUGGUCUGAGAGGAUGAUCAGUCACACUGGAACUGAGACACGGUCCAGACUCCUACGGGAGGCAGCAGUGAGGAAUAUUGGGCAAUGCUCGAAAGAGUGACCCAGCAACGCCGCGUGGAGGAUGAAGGUAUUCUAUAUCGUAAACUCCUGUGAGAGCAGACGAAAGACAGAUUAUUAAUCUGGAUGACUGUAUGCUCAGAGGAAGCCCCGGCUAACUACGUG